rnacentral:ribozyme from 1 species
UCGGCAACGAGAGGAAGCGCCACCCACCGGAGCCCCGGCGAUCGCGGCGCCCCGGCGUUGGGGGGUGGGGGUGGUGGUGUCGGCAACAACGACAACGCCACCGGCGACAACGAUGCCGACCGCCACAACGAGCCGACGGCG